GGCGAGAUGGCCGAGCGGUCUAAGGCGUCAGACUAAGGUUCCAAGCCAUAUAUAUUAAAGAUAAUCUGAUCUCUUCGGGGGCGUGGGUUCAAAUCCCACUCUCGUCA
rfam:Stereum hirsutum FP-91666 SS1 unplaced genomic scaffold STEHIscaffold_19, whole genome shotgun sequence.